rnacentral:rRNA from 1 species
UACGUAGGGUGCGAGCGUUGUUCGGAAUUACUGGGCGUAAAGGGAGCGUAGGCGGGAUUGUAAGUUAGAAGUUUAAUGCAUGGGCUUAACCCAUGGUCGGCUUUUAAUACUGCAGUUCUUGAGUAUGGGAGAGGGUGAUGGAAUUCCAGGUGUAGCGGUGGAAUGCGUAGAUAUCUGGAAGAACACCAGUAGCGAAGGCGGUCGCCUGGCCCAAUACUGACGCUGAUGCUCGAAAGCUAGGGGAGCAAACAGGAUUAGAUACCCUGGUAGUCCUAGCCGUAAACGAUGGACACUAGUUGCUGGAGGAGUCAAUCUUUUCGGUGACGAAGCUAACGCAUUAAGUGUCCCGCCUGGGGAGUACGCCCGCAAGGGUGAA